AGUCUGUCUUUCACCCAGCAUGGAGUGCAAUGGUGCCUCGAACUCUUGGACUCAAGUGAUCCUUCCACUUCAGCCUCCCAAGUAGCUGGGAUUACAGCUGUGUGCCACUGUGCCCAGCUGAGAGUAGGUUUUAAUCUGAGCAUGGGGGCAGCUAUGAUUCCCCGUAGCACCUGGGGUGAGACCAGGUCCUGGCUCCACUCACCCUGCCAGGAUCUCGUGGUCUGACACCUUCACACUGGACACGCCAUCUCUGGCCUCAUCCAGCGUCUGCACUGGCUCAGGCCUCCGUGAGCGGCAAUCCCAACAGCGGAUACUGGAAUCAAUAGAGCCUGUGAGGCCAGCAUGAUGGCUUUCACUCACCCCUGCGUGGCCCCGGAAUUUGCGCACGACCUGCCCUGAUGCCACAUCCCACAGAACCACCGCCUUGUCCCCGCCGCCGGAGCAGAGACUACUGUUGUCAAAGGAGCUGGAGUAAAGGAGGAGGAGGAUCAGCAUCGACCUCGGAUCCCAGCCUCAGCGCUCCCAUCCCAGCCUGGUCCCCGGCUCACCCGGCCGCAUCCAGCACCU
rnacentral:lncRNA from 1 species